rnacentral:rRNA from 1 species
AUUGAACGCUGGCGGCAUGCUUUACACAUGCAAGUCGAACGAGUGUCGAACGGGUGAGUAAUCUAUCGGAACGUACCGAGUAAUGGGGGAUAACCACUCGAAAGAUUGUCUAAUACCGCAUAUUAUUCUAGCGGCCGAUAACUGCUUAGCUAGUUGGUGGGGUAAAGGCCUACCAAGGCGACGAUCAGUAGCUGGUCUGAGAGGACGAUCCGCCACACUGGGACUGAGACACGGCCCAGACUCGUACGGGAGGCAGCAGUGGGGAAUUUUGGACAAUGGGGGCAACCACGAUACAGCCAGGCCGCGUGUAUGAAGAAGGCCUACGGGUUGUAAAGUACUUUAGUUAGGGAAGCGGGAACUAAAGAAUAAGCACCGGCUAACUACGAGCCAGCCGCCGCGGUAAUUC